UUUCAUUAAAUCUAUAAUAUCGUGAGCUUAGCAUAAUCUACGAUAUCGUGAGACUAGGAAAUUGUUCUGCCAGAUGAACAUAUAAACUUCGCCAGAUAGAAAAGUAUUUGUCAAAACUUGAAGGAAAUUAUAUGAUGAGUUAAUUGAAUCGAUGAAAAACAGGGGAAAAAAUAAUCCUGCAAACAUGAAUUCCUUAAGUAAGAAACGUUCUGAUUGAGAGGAUAUGGAUAUAAAUUUCGGCUUAUGAGCUAUAGAAACUAGAUUUAACUUUAAUCUUCAAUUAUGAACAAGUAUGAUUUUCUUUUGUUUCUGGUUUUUGCAACGUUGGUGACAAAUGUAUCGGUACAGACAUCAUCAAGGUUUUGUAAACGACAAAUAGAUUGCAAUAUUAAGGAGGAAUGUUGCUCUCAAAGUAAAAAUGGAACUUACUGCCAGAAAAGGCAAACACUUGAUUGAAAGAACUUCAGAAAAAGACGAUGGUUUCUCUUGACAUGGUAAGUGAUGAUUUCUGAAAAUGUUUUUUUUAAAUAAAGAAAAAGGGGGGUCAUAUUCGGAUUCAGGAGGUGUUUUUGCACAAAAAAUGUCGGGUCCGUUCGAAUCGUGAGAGACAAUAAGAAGAGCAAGCAUUUACUAUAAAAUAUAUUUUCGCACAUUAAUUAAGUAAUUUGUUGUUAAGUUAGAUCUUCCAUUUAAGUAAAUAAUUUGAAUAAGAUAAAGUGAUAGGAAGAAUAUUUUGUAUUCUGUUUCAUAGAGUCCGGUAGUUGUAAUUACAUUUGUACCUGACAGUAAUAGUUUCUUUCAAAACUUUAUAACGCUUUGCAGUUAUUACAUAAAUAUAUUUUUUGAAAUAGAUUUAAUUGUUUGGUUGCAAAUCGACCUAAGUUUAGCUUUUCUCAAAUUCUUAUUCCACUGUAAAAAAUUUAUAAGACAAAGUAGUUA